rnacentral:rRNA from 1 species
GACGAACGCUGGCGGCGUGCUUAACACAUGCAAGUCGAACGGUGAAGGUGGAGCUUGCUCCGCCGGAUCAGUGGCGAACGGGUGAGUAACACGUGGGCAACCUGCCCCAGACUCUGGGAUAACUCCUCGAAAGAGGCGCUAAUACCGGAUACGAACUCCUUGGGCAUCCUUGGAGUUGGAAAGUUUUUCGGUCUGGGAUGGGCCCGCGGCCUAUCAGCUUGUUGGUGAGGUAACGGCUCACCAAGGCGACGACGGGUAGCCGGGCUGAGAGGGGGACCGGCCACACUGGGACGGAGAGACGGCCAAGACUCCUACGGGAGGAAGCAGUGGGGAAGAUUGCGCAAUGGGCGAAAGCCUGACGCAGCAACGCGGCGUGAGGGAUGACGGCCUUCGGGUUGUAAACCUCUUUCAGCAGGGAAGAAGCGAAAGUGACGGUACCUGCAGAAGAAGCACCGGCUAACUACGUGCCAGCCGCCGCCGUAA